UGUAUAUUCCCAAUUAAUUUCAAAAAUUUUGUCAUUUCAUAAAAAAAAUUGAAAUCUUAAGAAUUGUAUCUUUUCAUUAUAAAAGUUGUGUCUUUUCUAAUGGUUAAGUUUAUUAAUACUUUGUAAUCUAACGGACAUGGUCAUCUCUCAUUUAUAAGAUCCGACGUCAUCAAUCUCGUUCACCAAAAGGCGUCUCAGUCAACUGCUAUCUGAACGAUGCACCCCUUAUACAUCCGCCUCUUCUCAAAGGACACCUCAUUUGCCUCCUUUUGGAUACAACACGUCUCUAAAAUCCAUCUAUACAUUGAACUUUCAGAGUUCUUAUCCCUUUAAAUAUUCCAUCAUCAAUCUAUCUCUUUAUAUUUUCCAUCAUCCUCGUCCAGAUUAAGAUGUAAGAAUUCCUCUCAGACAAUUCAUCACCAUCGUCGUACAUGGACAGACUUUUCAAAAGAAAUUAAUUGUUUGGUACUGCGUGGGAGGAGAUGGAGUGAAUCACGUAGUCUUUUGGCCAAAGAACAAUCUAUCUUCCCAAGUUUUUUUACUGCAGUUAGUUGAAAUGUAGUUUUACUCAAUUUUCGUUGAGCGUUUCUGUAUUUCUGUUAAUUGCCGUUUGACGUUUUCUAGCAGAAUUGAUCUGGGAGUCGCUUUUGUAUCAUUUUUAAGUUUUUUCAAAAAAAAUUGAUCCAGAUUAUUGAGUUAUGAUUAAAGGAGUUUGAAGAGGAAAAUAAACAAUUACUAACGAGUAUGGUCAAGCACAGCCUUAAUAACAUCCAUAAGUGCAUCACUCACGCGUGUGCCUUGCAGGGCCGGCUUACAAGGGGGGACAAGCGGUGCGACCGCCCCGGGUCCGAGCCCGUGUCCCUCCGUGUAAUGAUAAAUAAGGGGCCCAAUUUUUUAUAAAUCUAUAUUUUUAUAUAUAAAAAAAUUAUAAAUACAAUAAAUAAAAUUGAAAAGGGCCCAAAAUUAUUUGAUAUGUAUAUAGUUUUAUUUUCAUUACAAAAUAUACAAAAUAUUAUUGA